GGAAAGUUGACAGAGUGGUCAAAUGCGGCGGUCUUGAAAACCGUUGAUCUUAUCGGGUCCGGGGGUUCGAAUCCCUCACUUUCCGCCA
rnacentral:tRNA from 1 species